rnacentral:rRNA from 1 species
GACGAACGCUGGCGGCGGGCUUAACACAUGCGAGUCGAACGGAAAGGCCCUGCUUGUGUGGGGUGCUCGAGUGGCGAACGGGUGAGUAACACGUGAGUAACCUGCCCUUGACUUUGGGAUAACUGCAGGAAACUGGGGCUAAUACCGGAUAGGAGCUCCUGCUGCAUGGGGAGGGUUGGAAAGUUUCGGUGGUUGGGGAUGGACUCGCGGCUUAUUAGCUUGUUGGUGGGGUAGUGGCUUACCAAGGCUUUGACGGGUAGCCGGCCUGAGAGCGUGACCGGCCACAUGGGGACUGCGAUACGGCCCAGACUCCUACGGUAGGCAGCAGUGGGGAAUCUUGCCCAGUGGGCGGACGCGUGAUGCAACAGCGUCCCGUUCGGGAUGCCGGCCUUCGGGUUGUAAACCGCUUUCGCCUGUGACGAAGCGUGAGUGACGGUAAUGGGUAAAGAAGCACCGGCUAACUACGUG